CCCUUCGAGAUUUUUCGAUUUCCCUUAAUCUUUGCCGAUCUAGGUCUUCGUUUUUCAUGGAUUCAGGUAUCCAAUCGCUCGUGAUUUGGAGUUGCUGAGUUCACUUGAGAUACAGAGCUUUCAUGGUUCUCAUCUCUUCCAUAAACGAUGGCUCGAGCUUGGUUUGGAUGAUUUGGAUCUGAUCUAGGGUUAUGUUUCUCUCAGUUGGGAAAAGUGCGCUAUUGGGUCUAAACAUUGCUAAAAAUGGCAGAAGAUUACCAUGCCGAGCGUCCCUUGUUUGGUGGCGCAAUAGCCAGCACAUUCCCUCUUCGAUUUUAGGAUGUGAGCAACAUUCGACAAGUCCCUGAUCAUCAGGUUAUUGG